CGGGAAUAUUGGGCAAUGGAUGCAAGUCUGACCCAGCCAUGCCGCGUGCCGGAUGAAGGCCCUCAGGGUUGUAAACGGCUUUUAUUCGGGAAGAAGAGCAGGGAUGCGUCCUUGUGUGACGGUACCGAAUGAAUAAGCACCGGCUAACUCCGUGCCAGCAGCCGCGGUAAUACGGAGGGUGCGAGCGUUGUCCGGAUUUAUUGGGUUUAAAGGGUGCGUAGGUGGCUGAUUAAGUCAGUGGUGAAAUACAGCCGCUCAACGGUUGAGGUGCCAUUGAUACUGAUCAGCUUGAAAUAAUUGGAGGCUGCCGGAAUGGAUGGUGUAGCGGUGAAAUGCAUAGAUAUCAUCCAGAACACCGAUUGCGAAGGCAGGUGGCUACGAUUUAUUUGACACUGAGGCACGAAAGCAUGGGGAGCAAAC
rnacentral:rRNA from 1 species